rnacentral:tRNA from 1 species
GCCUUCGUGGUGUAUUGGUCAGCAAGGUCGACGUGUAUUCGACAGGUCCGUGGUUCGAGUCCCGGCGAGGGCA